UACGUAGGGGGCAAGCGUUGUCCGGAUUUACUGGGCGUAAAGAGCGUGUAGGCGGCCACGCAGGUCCGUUGUGAAAACUGGAGGCUCAACCUCCAGCUGUCGACGGAAACCGUAUGGCUAGAGUCCGGAAGAGGAGAGUGGAAUUCCUGGUGUAGCGGUGAAAUGCGCAGAUAUCAGGAGGAACACCGAUGGCGAAGGCAGGUCUCUGGGCCACUACUGACGCUGAGAAGCGAAAGCAUGGGGAGCGAACAGG
rnacentral:rRNA from 1 species